UUGUUCUAUUUUUUCGGACGGGGUGGUAACGCGUGAGAAUCUAGCUUCAGGUCGGGGACAACCACUGGAAACGGUGGCUAAUACCGGAUGUGCCGAAAGGUGAAAGAUUUAUUGCCUGAAGAUGAGCUCGCGUCUGAUUAGCUAGUUGGUGUGGUAAGAGCGCACCAAGGCGACGAUCAGUAGCUGGUCUGAGAGGAUGAUCAGCCACACUGGGACUGAGACACGGCCCAGACUCCUACGGGAGGCAGCAGUGGGGAAUUUUCCGCAAUGGGCGAAAGCCUGACGGAGCAAUACCGCGUGAGGGAGGAAGGCUCUUGGGUUGUAAACCUCUUUUCUCAGGGAAUAAAAAAAUGAAGGUACCUGAGGAAUAAGCAUCGGCUAACUCCGUGCCAGCAGCCGCGGUAAUACGGAGGAUGCAAGCGUUAUCCGGAAUGAUUGGGCGUAAAGCGUCCGCAGGUGGCACUGUAAGUCUGCUGUUAAAGAGCAAGGCUCAACCUUGUAAAGGCAGUGGAAACUACAGAGCUAGAGUACGUUCGGGGCAGAGGGAAUUCCUGGUGUAGCGGUGAAAUGCGUAGAGAUCAGGAAGAACACCGGUGGCGAAAGCGCUCUGUUAGGCCGUAACUGACACUGAGGU
rnacentral:rRNA from 1 species